GACGAACCGUGCGAACGUUGUUCGGAAUCACUGGGCUUAAAGGGAGCGUAGGCGGGCUAUCAAGUCUGGGGUGAAAUGCCGCGGCUCAACCGUGGAACUGCCUUAGAUACUGACGGCCUCGAGGGAGAUAGGGGCAUGCGGAAUUCUCGGUGUAGAGGUGAAAUUCGUAGAUAUCGAGAGGAACACCGGUGGCGAAGGCGGCCUUCUGGACAGUGACUGACGCUGAGACGCGAAAGCGUGGGGAGCAAACAGG
rnacentral:rRNA from 1 species